rnacentral:rRNA from 1 species
GACGUAGGGCGCGAGCGUUGUCCGGAUUUAUUGGGCGUAAAGAGCUCGUAGGCGGCUUGUCGCGUCGACCGUGAAAACUUGGGGCUCAACCCCAAGCCUGCGGUCGAUACGGGCAGGCUAGAGUUCGGUAGGGGAGACUGGAAUUCCUGGUGUAGCGGUGAAAUGCGCAGAUAUCAGGAGGAACACCGGUGGCGAAGGCGGGUCUCUGGGCCGAUACUGACGCUGAGGCGCGAAAGCUAGGGGAGCAAACGGG